UCGAGAUAACGAUCUACUUAAAUAUUUUUGUUACUCAAGAAAGAUCCUUUAAAAGAAUUCCUCUCACUUUAUACAGUGAUCUCUUUUUUUUUUUUUUUGGCAAAAAGAUUCACAGGAAAUAUGAAAUCGAAUUAUUUAUUACACUGAAAGAAUUUUCUUAAUAAAUUGUUUUGUCAAAUAUUAAAAAGAAAAACGUCAAAAGCAGAACUUCUUUUUUCUACACUUCAAACUAAUCCAAAUAAGCUUUUCUUUAAAGAGUAAAGUAGCUCCAUCUAGCGUAGUUACAUUAAAGUUUUACAAUCACGAAUAUAGUUUGCAGAUAGUUUGACGAAGAUGACUUCCAGUGGCUACAUAUUUGUGUUUUAAUAUCAUUUUAAAUUAUAUUUUAAUGUUUCUAAUCUUUAAAAUUAUUUGAUCUGAUCUUGAUAUUUGAUUAAGGAAGUAAAUGGAGAAUAUAAAUUAUAUGUGAGUGUCAUAAACGAAUCAAACAUCGGACGACAUAACCUCAAAAUAUUUAAAGGUUUUUUAAAUUUUUUUUAAAAUUAUUAAUUGCUUACCGCAAUUUGUUUCGUCGGAAUAAUCCCAGCAAUCGGGAACACCGUCGCAGAUUUUUUGAUGAAAGAGCUGUGCCUUAAGGAAAUCUGCACAGGUGCAAUUAGCCUCAUCUUCGGAAUUUGUACAUUCACUUAACAUAUUGCAUCGAGCACCAAAUGGCAAACAUUUUCCAUCGCUACACCGGAAACCAGUACAUUUUUCUGCUGUUCAUGUCGGGAGUAAUCCAAUAUGCAGCAAUCGUUCUAAUCUGGGAUUCAGCGAUCGACUGAAGGACAGGAAGGAGGUUGCAGAGAAAGCAUGGCCCCUGCAUAGUUCUCCGAUCUCCCCACAUAGAAGAGGGGCCACUGGGAGACUGGUCCAAAAGAGGCGAUGCUGCCAUCGCUCCGUCAAGGAAAUCCGCGAUUGGCAAGUGAAAUAUUUUUUUACGAACAUAGUGACACAACCUGAAAUUAAUUUUAAGAAAAAAGGGAUUGAAAAUUUAAAAAAAGAGAAUUUUUUUAACAUUGAAAAGUACAUGAAAAGUCCUUCAAAAACUAUAUUAAAAAAUUAAAAAUUCAUAAAAAACAAUUUCUUACUACUAUCUAACUAAUAUUUUAAGGAUUUUUUUUUACUUUGCGAACAAUAAUUUACCAAAGUAUCAAGUCAAUAUAUAACAACUUUUAAUGUUUGAGAAAUAAUUCCCCGUAUACAAUCUCAUAAAGCGCGCUACAGUUCUUGACAUCGAAAAAUCAGAGUCGAGGUCAACCGCCUGUGCGCAUCGUAAAAACGUAAAAUCCAUAUAAUAAAAAAUAAAAAUGCCACACAAUUACAAUUAAUGCUCUAGAAAACUUUUUAAUUAUUCUAUAUAUUAUAUUAUUUAAAGUAAUUUAUUUUUUUAGUCUCCUGGAUGUAAUAAGUUAGAAUUUUCAUUUAACUGUUUACUUCUAUUAUAUGAGAAAUCUGACAAAUGAAAAUUCAAUUAAAUUUUAGUAUUCUUUUUAAUGAAAAUUAUAUUAAUUGAAAAUUUAGAGGACUAAAAGUCAGGCUACACCGAGAGCCAACCAGAAGCAUUAAAUGUGAUGCUCAGGCGUAUUGAACGAGUAAAUUAAUCUAAUAAAUAAUCUAAUAAUAAUCUAAUAAUCUACUUGUUUAAUACGCCAGAGCAUCAAAUUUAAUGCUUAAUGGAGCUGAUAUUUGAUAAUAGUUUUAAUUAAUAAUUUUAGUUUUAAUUGUUAAAAACUUAUGUAUUUAAAUUUAAUAAGAUUCAU